rnacentral:rRNA from 1 species
GAUGAACGCUGGCGGCGUGCCUAAUACAUGCAAGUCGAGCGAACAGACGAGGAGCUUGCUCCUCUGACGUUAGCGGCGGACGGGUGAGUAUCACGUGGAUAACCUACCUAUAAGACUGGGAUAACUUCGGGAGACCGGAGCUAAUACCGGAUAAUAUAUUGAACCGCAUGGUUCAAUAGUGAAAGACGGUUUUGCUGUCACUUAUAGAUGGAUCCGCGCCGCAUUAGCUAGUUGGUAAGGUAACGGCUUACCAAGGCAACGAUGCGUAGCCGACCUGAGAGGGUGAUCGGCCACACUGGAACUGAGACACGGUCCAGACUCCUACGGGAGGCAGCAGUAGGGAAUCUUCCGCAAUGGGCGAAAGCCUGACGGAGCAACGCCGCGUGAGUGAUGAAGGUCUUCGGAUCGUAAAACUCUGUUAUUAGGGAAGAACAAAUGUGUAAGUAACUAUGCACGUCUUGACGGUACCUAAUCAGAAAGCCACGGCUAACUACGUG